GGCUGAGGCAGGAGAAUUGCUUGAACCCUCGGUGGGGGGGCAGAGGUUGCAGCGAGCCGAGAUCGUACCACUUCACUGCAGCAUGGGUGAAAGAGCAAAACUCCAAGUCAAAAAAGAAAAAAAAUUGUUAGUCAAUCUGUGUGUUACUGGUAAGGCUUCUGGUCAGUAAUAGGCCAUUAGUAGUUAAGUUUUUGGAAAAUCAUAUGUAAAUUUUUGACUUGAUUUUCUAACACCCACAUUGUUCAAGGGUCAACUGUAUAUCCAAUUUUUGCCAAUUAAAAAAUAAUAUUAAAUAAGUAAAAGUAACUUCACUUUUUCCUGAUGCUUCAGGUGUCUCAUCUUUUGUGUGAUUUUACUGUAAUUUUCUUCUCUCCCUUCCUGCUCCUUCAAAUUUCAAAUUUUCAGUUUCAGUAAGUUUUAACAAUAGUUUAGUUGGCCUUGUACUGCUCUCCUGCAUUGGUGGCUUGCUUUAGAUUUUUUUUUUUUUUUCCUGGUGGUGUAUUGAGUUUAUUUGAACAUGAGAUGUGGUUACAUUUCUUCUUGAGUAAAAUGACUGUAUCAUUUAACAAUAAUCUUUGUUGCAUCUGCUAUGAACAGUAAUUACAGUUUGAAGUACUUGAAAAUGUUUGAAAAUAAACCAGUGUGACUUAGCUAAAUCUGCUUGGAAAUUAUACCAUGUCUUGAUAUUUUAUUAAAAUAUCAAAAUAUUUCAAUUAUGAACAAAAACUUAGAAACAAAGCUGUUGUGAAAUGCAAAGGUGUUUUUGUUCUGUUGCAGGGGAUUAUUUAUUUCGAUCUCAGACAGAGGUCAUGUUAGAUCAAUUGUGGAUAACUGGCCAGAAAAUCAUGUUAAGGCUGUUGUAGUGACUGAUGGAGAGAGAAUUCUGGGUCUUGGAGAUCUGGGUGUCUAUGGAAUGGGAAUUCCAGUAGGAAAACUCUGUUUGUAUACAGCUUGUGCAGGAAUACGGCCUGAUAGAUGCCUGCCAGUGUGUAUUGAUGUGGGAACUGAUAAUAUCGCACUCUUAAAAGACCCAUUUUACAUGGGCUUGUACCAGAAACGAGAUCGCACACAACAGUAUGAUGACCUGAUUGAUGAGUUUAUGAAAGCUAUUACUGACAGAUAUGGCCGGAACACACUCAUUCAGUUUGAAGACUUUGGAAAUCAUAAUGCAUUCAGGUUCUUGAGAAAGUACCGAGAAAAAUAUUGUACUUUCAAUGAUGAUAUUCAAGGGACAGCUGCAGUAGCUCUAGCAGGUCUUCUUGCAGCACAAAAAGUUAUUAGUAAACCAAUCUCUGAACACAAAAUCUUAUUCCUUGGAGCAGGAGAGGCUGCUCUUGGAAUUGCAAAUCUUAUAGUUAUGUCUAUGGUAGAAAAUGGCCUGUCAGAACAAGAGGCACAAAAGAAAAUCUGGAUGUUUGACAAGUAUGGUUUAUUAGUUAAGGGACGGAAAGCAAAAAUAGAUAGUUAUCAGGAACCAUUUACUCACUCAGCCCCAGAGAGCAUACCUGAUACUUUUGAAGAUGCAGUGAAUAUACUGAAGCCUUCAACUAUAAUCGGAGUUGCAGGUGCUGGCCGUCUUUUCACUCCUGAUGUAAUCAGAGCCAUGGCCUCUAUCAAUGAAAGGCCUGUAAUAUUUGCAUUAAGUAAUCCUACAGCACAGGCAGAGUGCACGGCUGAAGAAGCAUAUACACUUACAGAGGGCAGGUGUUUGUUUGCCAGUGGCAGUCCAUUUGGGCCAGUGAAACUUACAGAUGGGCGAGUCUUUACACCAGGUCAAGGAAACAAUGUAUAUAUUUUUCCAGGUAAAUGCCACCAUUAUUUAUGUUAUAGAGCAAUAGUUAAUUAUGUAAAAAUACUUAAUGGAAUUCUUUGGAAUGGGAGAUUGAACUGAGCAACAGUAUUACAGAAUUUUGGUAUAAAUGUACAAGGAAACUCAAGGAAUUCAUCAAAUUCAGCAUGCUCCACUUUCUCUGAAAAUUUAUUCAUAUUGUUAAUUAAAUUUGUUUUUAUUAUAGAAAUAAUAUAUUGCAUGAUUUGUAAAAAUGCAGAGGAACAGAAUGGCACAAAAUUAUGUAACCCUUUCUAUCUCCCCUUGGUGUACCUCCUUAAUCAUACUUCUCAGAACCAUUGUCAAUAAUUUGCUGGGAGUUCUGAUGGUUACCAUCGUGACUGAUAGAUUUAUUUCCCAGGUUCAAGCAGUUCCCCUGCCUCAGCCUCCCAAGUAUCUGGGACUACAGGCAUGCACCACCACACUCAGCUAAUUUUUGUAUUUUUAGUAGAGAUGGGGUUUCACCAUGUUGACCAGGCUGGUCUCGAACUCCUGACCUCAGGUGUUCUGCCCAUCCCAAAGUGCUGGGAUUACAGGUGUGAGCCACCACGCCCAGCCAGGUGUUCUUAUUUUUUAAGAUACACCCAGUAUACUGGUAUCACACCAAAGGAAAUUAAUAAUAAUUGCUUAAUAUCGUUUAUCAUUACCUCAGUUCAACAACUUAUUUUUAUUCCCAAUACCUUUUUUAUUCUAGAAUUGCUCUUUCUAAAUAGCUACUUUUAAAGCAAAAACGGUUACAGUACUCUUUGAGCUUUUUCUGGAGAAUUAUUAGGAUUCCUUUCAAUGUUUCUGCCUUUGUGCUGUAUUUUCCAUAAAUUUCUGGUGAUCCUCAGUUGUCUCUUUCUUUUAAGCAAGACUGUGUUGAGUAAAACAGGAAUUUUGUAUGAUUUUCUUUUGCACUUGUGUCUUUUUUCUUCUGGUAGGUCUUUCCCUGACUAGCUGACAGCAGGCUCUAAUUAAGAUAUGACAAGUUUAUAUAGGCUGGCAUCAGGCAAGCAUGUAUAACUGUUGUCAAAGUAAAGAGGGUAUUUAGUCUGUGAAUAUCCUGGUACUUUUCUAUAUUUUUCUCCUUUUUUUUGCCCCUCGUGUUUUCCUAUAUGUCUCUUGAGACCUAACUUCUAUAAUAGAAACUGUCCUGUCAUCCAUAAUCUCUUUCUAGAACUUGAUAAUGUUCAAAAUUAAUGUGUUCUAUUCAGUAACAUUUCUAUGGCCUAAAAGACAUGAGGGCAGGAAAGGAAAUACUUUUCUGCUGAUUUUAACAAAGCUAUUUUUUUAAACUUUUUUUUUAGUUCCAGGGGUACAUAUGAAGGUUUGUUAUAUAGGUAAAUUGUGUGUUGCAGGGGGUUUCAUGUAUAGAUUAUUUCAUCACCCGGGUAAUAAGCAUGGUACCCAAUAGGUAGUUGUUUGAUCCUUACCCUCUUCCCGCCCUCUACCCUUAAGUAGGCCCCAGUGUCUGUUGUUCCCUUCUUUGUGUCCAUGAGUUCUUAUCACUUAGCUCCACUUGCAAGUGAGAACAUACGGCAUUUGGUUUUCUGUUCCUGUGUUAGUUCACUUAGGAUAAUAGCCUCCAGCUCCAUGCAUGUUACUGCAAAGGACGUGAUCUCAUUCAUUUUUUUGGCUGCAUAGUAUUUUUUUUUAUUUAUACACAUGGUGUAUAUGUGCCACAUUUACUUUAUCCAGUUUACUAUUGAUGGGCAUUUAGAUUAAUUCUAUGUCUUUACUAUUGUGAAUAGUGCUGCAGUGAACAUACACAUGCAUGUGUCUUUAUGGUAGAAUGAUUUAUAUUCCUUUGAGUAUAUAGCCAAUAAUAGGAUUGCUGGGUCGAAUGGUUGUUCUAAAUUCAGCAAAACCAUUUUUUAUAUCAUAUCUGAGUAUUAAGGAAUUUAGCAGUUGAUUAUUUUUAUAUAACACUUUAAAGUCCUAACUUAAAUAACAGCUAUGGAUACCAUAAAUAUAGACAUUAAAAAUGACCUGGCCAGGCAUGGUGGCUCUCGCCUGUAAUCCCAACAUUUUGGGAGGCCGAGGCAGGAGGAUUGCUUGAGGCCAGGAGUUUGAGACCAGCCUGGGCAACUUAGUGAGACCUUGUUUCUUCCAAAAAUUAAAAAAAUUAACCAGGUGUAGUGGUGCACACCCCUAGUCCCAGCUAGUCAGGAGGCUGAGAUGGAAGGAUCGCAUGAGCCUGGGAGGUCCAGGCUGCAGUGAGCCAUCAUCAUGCCAGUGCACUCCAGCCUGGGCAACAAAGUGAGACUGUCUCAAAAAAAUAAAAUAAAAUGACCUGGCAUUUGAGGCAGAAAUGAGCCUAAAAACAGGAGGAUUGGCUGAAAGUCCGUUUAUAAAGCAACUUAAAAAUAAAACUGUUAAUAUUUGAAUGACCUAGUUGAGCAACUAUAACAACCGGAUGAAAAAUUUUUUUAAGACUUUAAAAGGGUCAAAGGGAUAAGAUAUUGGCUCUAAUGGAAUAUUGGAGAAUUCUGGACCAAGGUUAGGGAGGGAACAAAUGCACAGAACAAGCUUUUGAAGCCAGUUUUACAGUGGAAAUAUAGACCAGGAAGAAAGUGGCUAAGAGGUACAGCUGUGCUUUUCAUGGAAAGUGGACAAGAUCGGCACCAUGUCCGAGUCUGGCACUACCUCCCACUCUGGACUGAAACCCUAAAGUGCUGUACCUUGGAUUGGGGGUAUAGUUUGCAGCAGCAAUGGGUGAUUUAGAAAACCUCAAGCCUCUGUUCGGGACUGCCAGUGCCCACAAGUGCCCAGCAGAAGCAAACAAAAAUUUCUCUGAAAUAAGAUAAUGGCAUCCUAGUCCUCAAAUUAUUUUUAUAAAUUUUCAAGUACAACCUAAGUAGAAAAAUAAAAAAAAGAUAAUGAGGCACAUAAAGAGACAUAACAACAGAAGCCAAAACCAGCGAAAACAAGAAAAACAGACACACUGAAACCCUGGAUAUACCGUAAAUGCUAUGAAACAAAUAUGCUUAUUAUGUUUAUAGAGAUAAAAGCCAAUCUUGAAAACUUAAGACAAGUACCACUAAAUUCUAGAAUUGAAAAACGUAGUAAUCUAUAAGAACUGAGUGAGCUGGGUGUAGUGGCUCAUGCCUGUAAUCCCAGCACUUUGCGAGACCAAGGUGGAAGAAUUGCUUGAGCCCAGGAGUUUGAGACCAGCCCUGGCAACGUAGUGAGACCCCCAUC
rnacentral:sRNA from 1 species